AUGCAGUCGAACGAUGAUGCCCAGCUUGCUGGGUGGAUUAGUGGCGAACGGGUGAGUAACACGUGAGUGACCUGCCCCUGACUCUGGGAUAAGCGUUGGAAACGACGUCUAAUACUGGAUAUGACUGCCGGCCGCAUGGUCUGGUGGUGGAAAGAUUUUUUGGUUGGGGAUGGACUCGCGGCCUAUCAGCUUGUUGGUGAGGUAAUGGCUCACCAAGGCGACGACGGGUAGCCGGCCUGAGAGGGUGACCGGCCACACUGGGACUGAGACACGGCCCAGACUCCUACGGGAGGCAGCAGUGGGGAAUAUUGCACAAUGGGCGAAAGCCUGAUGCAGCAACGCCGCGUGAGGGAUGACGGCCUUCGGGUUGUAAACCUCUUUUAGUAGGGAAGAAGGGAGCUUGCUCUUGACGGUACCUGCAGAAAAAGCACCGGCUAACUACGUGCCAGCAGCCGCGGUAAUACGUAGGGUGCAAGCGUUGUCCGGAAUUAUUGGGCGUAAAGAGCUCGUAGGCGGUUUGUCGCGUCUGCUGUGAAAUCCCGAGGCUCAACCUCGGGCUUGCAGUGGGUACGGGCAGACUAGAGUGCGGUAGGGGAGAUUGGAAUUCCUGGUGUAGCGGUGGAAUGCGCAGAUAUCAGGAGGAAC
rnacentral:rRNA from 1 species